GCCUAGUUAGCUUGGUUGGUAGCGCGUCUGCCUUGUAAGCAGUAGGUCGCGGGUUCGAUUCCCGCCUGGAGCG
rfam:Asian citrus Psyllid, Diaphorina citri - Florida Strain, whole genome shotgun sequence.